CUGAGUGGCAAACGGGUGAGUAUAAUGUGGGAAUCUGCCUUUUGGUCUGGAAUAACACGAGGAAACUUGUGCUAAUACCGGAUAAGCCUUUACAGGGAAAGUUUUAAUGCCAAAAGAUGAGCCCGCACUUGAUUAGCUAGUUGGUAAGGUAAAAGCUUACCAAGGCAACGAUCAAUAGCUGUUCUUAGAGGAAGACCAGCCACAUUGGGACUGAGACACGGCCCAAACUCCUACGGGAGGCAGCAGUGGGGAAUCUUGCACAAUGGGGGAAACCCUGAUGCAGCGAUGCCGCGUGAGUGAAGAAGGCCUUUGGGUUGUAAAACUCUUUCGUCGGGGAAGAAAAUGACUGUACCCGAAUAAGAAGGUCCGGCUAACUUCGUGCCAGCAGCCGCGGUAAUACGAAGGGACCUAGCGUAGUUCGGAAUUACUGGGCUUAAAGAGUUCGUAGGUGGUUAAAAAAGUUGAUGGUGAAAUCCCAAGGCUCAACCUUGGAACUGCCAUCAAAACUUUUUAGCUAGAGUAUGAUAGAGGAAAGUGGAAUUUCUAGUGUAGAGGUGAAAUUCGUA
rnacentral:rRNA from 1 species